GAAUUGCAGGCAUGUGUCACUCAACCUGAUUGGCAGCUCCGUUCUGAAGGUCCAAAGUCAGGUGCUCCCACUAGUGCAAUCGGGUGCUAGUGCAUCAGGUGCUCCCACUAGUGCAGCAAGCUCAUUACCCGCUGAGCCAUCCCACACCCUGGCACCCCGUCUUUCCCAUUCUGUGUCUGUCUUUCAUUCCCUCUCCCUCCAGCACUUUCUUGCUAUCUCUGCUUUCCACUCUCUUUCCCCAUCUAUUUCUCCUCUUUCUCCCUUUUGCCCAGAUCCCUUGCCAGCUUUUCCUCCCUCAUCUCUGCUUCCUCCCUAGCAAAAGCAAGGUUAGGCUGGAUCAACACAGCCUGAGUGCUGAUGAAGAUGCAGGUCAGUAUGUCUCUGUCUGAUGCUCCAUCCCACACUCACUCUACAACAUGAGCCUCCGAAAGCUCACAUUUCUCAGCCCGGAUGCUGGCAGCAGUCACGACCUGAUGCUGCUUCAGCUGAGUGAGCCAGCCGACAUCACAGAGGCUGUGAGCGUGAUGAGCCUGCCCACCGAGGAGCCGAAGCUGGGGAGCCGUUGCCUGGCAUCUGGCUGGGGCAGCACCAGGCCAGGCCUACAGCUGCCAGGGCAAGGACGCUGCAGUGUGUGGAUCCCAACCUCAUGUCCAAUGACGUCUUACAAUGACGGCUUACUCACAGGGGGUGACAGAAGAAUUCAUGUUGUUUGCUGGGCACCAGGAAGGAGGCAAAGAUACCUGCAUGAUGAGCAGUCCCAAGCCCUAGGACGCUGAGACAACAAGAGUGAAGGAAACUGAUUCUGGGCUGAGGCCCGGCCAGCAUCUCCUCAGCUGCUCAGACACUGUAGCCCGUCAGCUCCCCCUGCCCCCCUCAGUGUGUCAAAGCCUCCUCUGCUCCAGUCUUGUCCCUUCCUCCCAAGGCACCCUGUCUCUCACUCUUCCACAUCCAGGCUUCUCAACCUACGGACGCCUUUUCUUAUGUAUCUCCCACGUGCCUCUGACCAUCUUAGACCCUGCUCAGCCAAUAGGAGCACAGAGCAGCCCCUCCCACACAGAGCACCAUUAUGGGGGUGGGAAUGUUGCACUGCUCUUCCUGGGGCAACUGUUUCUACUCAGCACAGAGAAGACAACACACUAUUCCAUCCAUCUUGGAGAGCUCAUGGGUUGUUAGGUUAGCCUCAGGGGCAUGGAAGGCAACUGUAUCACCAAAAAGCCUGCCCCAGCAUAGGUGACCACUUAGAAAAUCUGCACCUCCCUAGUCCUCUGCAGUUCCACUCAAGAGUCUCCCCUCCUGAGGGGCCUCCUGAAUCCCCGUGCUCAUACCAGGAAGGGAAGUUUUGACGGAGAGAACACAGCUCCACAGAAAGGGGCAGCCAUAAGCAGGAAGCACAACUCAGCCGUAAUGGGGGUGACUCUGGAGGCCCACUCAUCUGUGAUAGGAUGCUCCAAGGAAUUACAUCAUGGGAUGGUGAACCCAGUGCCUAUCCUAGGAAGUCUAGCUUAUUCACUAAAGUGUCAGCACACAUGAACUGGAUCAAGGCCAACAUUAAGAACAACCCUUGAGGUCCCUGUGCCUUCCCUACGAAACUGACAACCACCGUUCCACAUUCUGCACGGUUCCCCUUUUCUGGGCUUGAGACAUCUGGGGGCCCAGGACUCAGCCAGCAGAAUGCAAAGUCUCCUGAUUCUCCCAACACAAGUGCUUAGCAGGAAGACAGGAGCAGAGAGAUUUGGUUCAGCAGGCCUCAGAGGGUUGCAUGUGCUUCCCCCAUCUCAAGAGCAUGGCAGGUCUGAAAACUGCUCAAGCAGAAGUAGGUGGUGGUGGCCUUGGCAUGCGUGCAUUGCAGAGAUGGCAGAAGGGGAUCACCGGAGAUGGGACAGAGGUACACAGUGGCAAAUCCAUGGAGCCCCAAGCAAGAUCCGAGGCCCAUGCAACUAGGUACAUAGUGGGGUGGUGCCGAAACGUCACCCUCAUUUUUCUGGAGACGACAGGAUGCCUAAGUAAAUUGUGAGCAGAGGAAGGAGGUCACUCCAUGUCACAGGGCUGGCGCAAGGGAGGGGAAACCACAGAGUGGGGAAGCUUAUUCACUUUGUGGGUGUUGGUGACAACAAGCCACAAUUAACAGAGGGACUCUCAGUCACAGAUGUGGAGCUAGGGUGUGUCAUGGGUGAAGACCAUGACAGGGAACAGAGAGAGAUCCUGAGACAAGCUCUCGGAUGGACUGUGGAGUGGAGAGGCAGACCUUACCACUGCCACCACCUGUCCAGUGGCUUCUAUGGACAAUGAUGUGUGAGGACAUGUCCAGAGUGCUUCUACCCAGAGCAGCUGACCAAGACUGGCAUGCAGGGUGCUCACUGGGCUCUGUACUCCUGUCCUCUGUACUCAAAUACAAGUACAUGACCAACAUGCUGUCCAUCUCCAGGGUCUGCAGGGCAUAGUCCAGGACUCCAGAUACCCAAACCCACAUUCACACUUACAGUCACUCCGUCAACACAAACUGCUACUGAUAUCCUGGGCUCCACUGGACUGAGACUCCUCAGGCAGGGAAGUCUGGGGCAUCCAGAAUUGUCCCAGGAGAGACUCAAGUUAGGGUUUUCUCAUGGUUGAGUACCAAGGCCUCUUGGGGAAUCUUCUACUGUUCAAGGGAUGAAGGGAUGAAGGAAGAAAAGACUGAGGAAGAG
rnacentral:lncRNA from 1 species